ensembl:lncRNA
CAGUACUUGGUCUCCGACUGAUGACGUAUCACAAGUACACGAGAACGCAAGUACGCACAAGUACGCAUAUUGAGAAACGCCCCUGGUGUUGGAGCAUUGUUGUUUCCACAAGCGGUAACGUGUUUAUAGCCCCCUACCCUUAGAACCAACAGUCACUGAUGAAUACUCUGGAAGGGUUGAGUUUUCUGUGAGAAAUCACUGUGAAACUGAAGAAUCUUCAAGAGGCAGACAGUGGAGUUUAUACUGCACAAAUGAUAGGGCCUCAAGAUACAGUAAUAUUAACUGAAUACAACAUCACGGUUCAAGGUAAGUAUUGCAACUUGUCAGACAUUGAUGGAGAGUAACCACUGACGUGUAUUUUCCUUUAAACACCUCCUCCCCCCUCAGAUCCAGUGUCACUGCUCAGACUCGUGUAACCUCACGGUGACCUGCAGCACAAAGCACGCUCACAUCAGCAGCAUUUUUACAUGUGACACCACAACCUGCUAUCAGGAAGGAGGAGAGCAAUCAGAGGUUACGACCUCAGGUUCUGGGAGUCUCUCUGAUGGUAUAUCUGUCUGUUUGGUAAAGACGGUUGUUUUCUCUGUGGGUCUGAUCAUCAUGGUGUUUGCUGUCAUCAGUGUCCACAUCAUAGAGAAAUUUGAGAGGCAAAAAUAAGUAGUACAUCAAUUACACCAUACAUAUAGUUCAG